UUCAAAUAAAAAUAUCAAGUAAAAUAGGAGGGAACCAUCUGUGCAGAAUACUGAACUGGAAAAACAUCUGGCACCCUUAGGAAUGAAAACCAAGGAAAAUCAAGCAGGUCAAAUGUCAGCAGAGAUAAGACUAAGGAUGGAAUAUUGGCCAGAAGAACCAAAUAUGACACACUAAACCAUGUGGAUAAACUUCAGGAAGGUGAUGGAUCACAACUGUCUCCUGGCGGGGUAUCCAAAGUGCUUGCAGCAAGUCAGGUCCCUGGGCUGAAGCAGGCUGGCAGAAACAUCGAAGCAGCAGUUGUGGAACACAACCUGCAGACUCUCCCUGCUAUGGAUGCCAGCAGAGACUCUUGUCUAUGUGAUGUGGACCAACCCAGCCAAAUCGAUCUCAAGGAACAGACGCCAGAAAUCUCCGUGAUGACAGCCAACCAUGCUUCCUCACUCACGCCUCCCGUCGUGUGUGACUUCCGGCUUCCCCUCCUCACUUCGCCCCUUGUCAGGUUGAAGCAGUCUCGGGAAUUCAGCGUCCUUGUUCCCCCGCUCGCUAUCCAUAACUCACCUUUUUGUAAUCAUCAAAAUGGAGGAAUGCUAGUAUUCUGACCCACUCAUGAAAUCCUGCUCCUUGGCCCCGCCCUGCAUCCUGACGUAAAAGCCUCAUUUUAAGGAAAAAUCCUCCCUUUCCUCUUUCUUGCUUUUCCUCCCAUGAGGUGUGCACCCCCCCUUCUCUCUUCCCCUCUCUCUUUCUUUCUCUAUCUUCUCUCCCUCUUUCCUAUCUUCUCUAUUAUAAUAAGCCAUUUCUAUGCGGACGCAGCAUCUGAGUCGUGAAUGACUGUUUGCCGCUGCCCUGCUACUGCAUCUGCCCAGUAUGCCAGCACACGCAAGAAACCCCCAGGGUCCCCCACGCACUAUAUCAUAACACAUUCCCUUCAACAGAACAUCUUCUGAAGGAGGGGUCCCACAGAACAAAGGCAGGUCUUUGCUCCAGAAACGGGUCAGGGCCUGGCACAGCCACACCUUUGGCAGGACACCCCGAAAAUCGGAGGAGGCCCUGGCCCUCUCCGGCAAUGACUUGGCAAUGACAGUUUACCCAGUCGAAAGCUGAUCUUAGUCUGGUGGAGAGCAGGUGUCGGGGAGGAGAGUGCUUUCCCACCAUGCAGCCCCGGGCCGGUGGGGGAAAGUCAGCCCCCUCGGUGGAACCUCCAGAUGAAAAGUUUUCGCACCCCGAUAAGCCUCUUCACAGAGGCAACAAUCCAAAUCAGACCAAGUCAGACCGAAUUAGAAAAGCCCCACUUUAAUGGGUAAAGCACUCCCAGGUGAUUCUUCAGCUCCCCAGAGAGGAAAUGGGGAAGAAAGACGGAAAAACCAUGUGUCUGUUUUCUGGGGUGCAGUUUAAAUACCCUGUGGGAGUGGUCUUGAGCAUCUCUGGGGGAGGAGCUGUGGUUGGCGGGACUCUCUGAGGGGCAGGGUCUGGGCAGAGAGGUGAGGCUUCCACCAGAACAUCCCAGACUCUUUGGGUAUAGGAUGCCAGGGUGUCAGGGGCUGAGGUGAGGCUUCCACCAGAACAUUCCAGACUCUUUGGG